AGCAAGUCUAUUGAACAGCUUCCAAGGCUACAGUGGCUUGGAAAGAGAUCUGGAUUGCCAGAGAGUACCUGUGGCCACUUGGCAAUCCAGGAUCUGACUUCUACUGCCUCUGAAAGGCCAGCCAGAUGUAGUGACCUGACACUCAGGAAAGGAAAGCAAAGCUCUCUCCUACGAGGUGCAGCUCCUUCUGGAAAGGAGCUUUGCAGAUGUACAGACUCCUGAAGCUCAGCCUGCUCCUCAUACCUGGGUAAUUCUGAGACCAGUCUCCCACACACCAACAUCAAUGGGGUUUUUCCUGCUGGAUUAAGCAGAAGGAGGAAUACCAGCUAGAAAGACCUUGAGAGGAGGGUUUUUUUUCACACAACUUGUAAUUAAUUGUGGUACUCAUUGCUACAGGAUUUUAUGAAUCUCACUCUUUUGUAUAUAUUGAAAGUGUAAUCAGAGUAAAACCUGUCAUGUAUGUUCAAAUAUGCAGAUAAUAACUCUUAAAAAAUACUUAUAAAAACUAUCCCUGAAUCUUAGAUCUCUAGAAACAAUGGGAUUGUACUGAGGAUGUGUCACUGUAUGUUUGCCACUUCUUAUUCACUUCCUUAGGCAAUUGCUGCUGGCUUCUCUUGGAGGAAUGGUACCUGGUGGCCUGGAUCUUUGAUUUGAUCACUCUGGUCAGUCUGAGUGAUGUGAAAAAAAAUUGACUUUGACUCAAAGGCUGUAUUCUAUGAUCACUUUUGACAAUUAUAAGCACAAAGAACAUGGUCAUAUUUUCAAAUUCUGAGGUAAAAUAUAUGGACACCUAAAAUGUGAUCUGAAACUUUUGCAUUAUUUGAGGGAACACUUUGUCACGAUAAGAGCCUGAAGUGCCAGGAGCAGAGAAGAAGUAUUGUAGGUUAGGCCUAUGUCCUGCACAGAAGCUCAUUUGUAAAUGCUCCCUCUCUCUUCACUUAGGACAGCUAUAAAAUCAAGCUAAUAAUGUUUAUACUUAGUUUUGGAAGGAACUUUGAGAGCUAGAAAUAAAUGCUUACUCUGCAAAUGCAAAGAUUUAUUUUUUUACAUGGAGUGAUUGCAACUGAGUAAAAAUGGGAAGAGGAUCAAAAACAUUUGGAAGACUCAAGAUCACAAAUGACUGUCAGUGACACUAAUUUUCCUAAUGUUUUAGGUGCUUUUGUAUGUCCUCUAGGGAGGCUAAGAUGCAUCCAAGAAAAAGCUCUGGCAUUAUGUGCCCUAACUUUUUGAUGCCUGGCCCCUGACGUGCAGUUCCAAACCUUAAGUUAGGCACAGCAUUUCCGGCUCUGUGAUACUGAACACAUUUUGCCAACAGGAGAGCAAUGGAGUUGCCUCAGAACACUGAGCCUGAAGGCAAGAACCCUCUGCUAGGUGGGAAUUAAUUUUUCAGAGGAGCAAAGACCUUGCUGUUAGGCAGAUUUUGCUGGCAUUUAGAAAUACAUCUCAUUGUAGGCAGCUACUUCAUUUUGGGGAGAUUUAUCCCCAAAACCUCAGAUAUAAAAGAGUUGAGAUCUUUGCAAAACCCCAUCUUAUAAUAAACCCUGUGUAAUAAAUACUGACUCUGGCCUUAAAUUAAAAUGGAAUAAUUUAUUGCUAGAUUUGACUAAUCUCCUUGAAGAUGUCCAAUGUGUAAACUGGGCAUCUUCAAGGCCUGUUAGGACAAAGAUGGAUGGGGAGAAGGCUGGCUGUGAGCCAGCAAAGCUGACCACAGCAAGGGAGAAGUGUGAUGAUUAAACCUGGGCCAGCCCCUGCUGCCCUGACUCCAGGCUGUUCUAUGGAAAGAUGUGCAAGGACAAGGUGAGGAUUUUGCAGAAGCUGGGACACUGAAACUCAGCAGCCUGGGACCACCCCUAUGGCAGCAUGUGGGAAGCAGCAAGCUCAUCUAGACACAAAAUCAAUCUUUAGUUAAAAUCCAUGGUCUUUCCACAGGUUUUUAAGGCCGAUACAGUAACAGGGUCCAAGAACUGGCUCUGAGGGUGCAGUGCUUUAAUACAGAGGUCCAGUUAAAGUGCCCUGGAAGCCUGGCACUGCCUCAUGGAAUGGUUAAUCCAUCUUCCCUCUCUGCCUCUGCUGUUCCUGCACAUUUGAACUGUCAUAUCCUUUCUCCAUUAUGUAAUAGCCUAGAGGUCACACAUGUUCCUCUGCUUUGAAUAAUACAUCUCUAU